GUUACGGCGGUCAUAGCGUCGGGGAAACGCCCGGUUCCAUUCCGAACCCGGUAGCUAAGCUCGACAGCGCCGAUGGUACUGCACUCGGUAGGGUGUGGGAGAGUAGGACGCCGCCGGACAUC
rnacentral:rRNA from 1 species